CCGAUGGCAUUGAAGAUGACGUAGCUUAACGUCAAUGGAAGAAUUAGCUCAAGCCAAUGUACCGGUAUAGGGGCCUUUAGGCCUAUCGAACAUUGGAGCGGGGGAGGGGCCGUAUGGACACUCUACGAAGGAAGUAGCAUGGGUCAAGUCCUCCGCACGCCCUUGUGCCAGCGUAGAGCAGAACAAUUGAAUUUUAAAGGUUAGCAGUUGUUAGGCAAGCAGUGGCUAUAGG
rnacentral:lncRNA from 1 species